ACUACUGUGCAUGUUGUUGAGGUCGCAAUCGCAGCAGUCUGAUUCAUGCACGACGCUACUCGCACAAAGUGAGAAGAUUUAGUUCACGGAGAAUGGAGAAUGGAUUGAAACUGAAGAGCUGGAAGGAGGACAUUACAACAUCUCUUAUAUUUGCAAGAUGACGCAGAAAGUCCCAUGCAGGAUGAUGCUUCUCUACGAGGAUGAUGAAGGCAUGCUGGUUUAUAAAUUCGGGAGAGGAACAAAGAACAGAUAUUGACGGGAUCAUAUCUAGAGAUGCAGGCCUACUACACUUCAUACGAGCAAGUGUACUAAUAUACAUGAAGACUUGGUUUAUAUUUCUUCUGAAACUAGGCUACAACUUUAGUGAUGAAUGCAGAAGAUAUCUACACGGGACUACGUCUUAAAGAUGCCACCCUCGUAUAAUGAAAGAGGACAAUAGAGAUGGGUUUCA
rnacentral:lncRNA from 15 species